UCUGGCGCUAUUACUUUGAAGAAAUGAGAGUGCUCAAAGUAGGCCUACGCUUGUAUACAUUAGCAUGGGAUAACAUCAUAGGAUUUCGAUCCUAUUGUAUUGGCCUUCGAGAUCGGAGUAAUGAUUAACAGGGACAGUCAGGGGCAUUCGUAUUUCAUAGUCAGAGGUGAAAUUCUUGGAUUUA
rnacentral:ncRNA from 1 species